rnacentral:tRNA from 1 species
UCCCUGAAGGACUAAUGGUUAGGCCACAGCGAUCUCACCACUGUGGCCCAGGUUCAAUUCCCAACCAGGGAA